rnacentral:rRNA from 1 species
CGGCGGACGGGUGAGUAACACGUGGAUAACCUACCUAUAAGACUGGGAUAACUUCGGGAAACCGGAGCUAAUACCGGAUAAUAUAUUGAACCGCAUGGUUCAAUAGUGAAAGACGGUUUUGCUGUCACUUAUAGAUGGAUCCGCGCCGCAUUAGCUAGUUGGUAAGGUAACGGCUUACCAAGGCAACGAUGCGUAGCCGACCUGAGAGGGUGAUCGGCCACACUGGAACUGGGACACGGUCCAGACUCCUACGGGAGGCAGCAGUC